GCGAGGGGAGUGAAAAAGAACCUGAAACCGUGUACGUACAAGCAGUGGGAGCACGCUUAGGCGUGUGACUGCGUACCUUUUGUAUAAUGGGUCAGCGACUUAUAUUCUGUAGCAAGGUUAACCGAAUAGGGGAGCCGAAGGGAAACCGAGUCUUAACUGGGCGUUAAGUUGCAGGGUAUAGACCCGAAACCCGGUGAUCUAGCCAUGGGCAGGUUGAAGGUUGGGUAACACUAACUGGAGGACCGAACCGACUAAUGUUGAAAAAUUAGCGGAUGACUUGUGGCUGGGGGUGAAAGGCCAAUCAAACCGGGAGAUAGCUGGUUCUCCCCGAAAGCUAUUUAGGUAGCGCCUCGUGAAUUCAUCUCCGGGGGUAGAGCACUGUUUCGGCAAGGGGGUCAUCCCGACUUACCAACCCGAUGCAAACUGCGAAUACCGGAGAAUGUUAUCACGGGAGACACACGGCGGGUGCUAACGUCCGUCGUGAAGAGGGAAACAACCCAGACCGCCAGCUAAGGUCCCAAAGUCAUGGUUAAGUGGGAAACGAUGUGGGAAGGCCCAGACAGCCAGGAUGUUGGCUUAGAAGCAGCCAUCAUUUAAAGAAAGCGUAAUAGCUCACUGGUCGAGUCGGCCUGCGCGGAAGAUGUAACGGGGCUAAACCAUGCACCGAAGCUGCGGCAGCGACGCUGAUGCGUUGUUGGGUAGGGGAGCGUUCUGUAAGCCUGUGAAGGUGUGCUGUGAGGUAUGCUGGAGGUAUCAGAAGUGCGAAUGCUGACAUAAGUAACGAUAAAGCGGGUGAAAAGCCCGCUCGCCGGAAGACCAAGGGUUCCUGUCCAACGUUAAUCGGGGCAGGGUGAGUCGACCCCUAAGGCGAGGCCGAAAGGCGUAGUCGAUGGGAAACAGGUUAAUAUUCCUGUACUUGGUGUUACUGCGAAGGGGGGACGGAGAAGGCUAUGUUGGCCGGGCGACGGUUGUCCCGGUUUAAGCGUGUAGGCUGGUUUUCCAGGCAAAUCCGGAAAACUAAGGCUGAGGCGUGAUGACGAGGCACUACGGUGCUGAAGCAACAAAUGCCCUGCUUCCAGGAAAAGCCUCUAAGCAUCAGGUAACAUCAAAUCGUACCCCAAACCGACACAGGUGGUCAGGUAGAGAAUACCAAGGCGCUUGAGAGAACUCGGGUGAAGGAACUAGGCAAAAUGGUGCCGUAACUUCGGGAGAAGGCACGCUGAUAUGUAGGUGAAGUCCCUCGCGGAUGGAGCUGAAAUCAGUCGAAGAUACCAGCUGGCUGCAACUGUUUAUUAAAAACACAGCACUGUGCAAACACGAAAGUGGACGUAUACGGUGUGACGCCUGCCCGGUGCCGGAAGGUUAAUUGAUGGGGUCAGCGCAAGCGAAGCUCUUGAUCGAAGCCCCGGUAAACGGCGGCCGUAACUAUAACGGUCCUAAGGUAGCGAAAUUCCUUGUCGGGUAAGUUCCGACCUGCACGAAUGGCGUAAUGAUGGCCAGGCUGUCUCCACCCGAGACUCAGUGAAAUUGAACUCGCUGUGAAGAUGCAGUGUACCCGCGGCAAGACGGAAAGACCCCGUGAACCUUUACUAUAGCUUGACACUGAACAUUGAGCCUUGAUGUGUAGGAUAGGUGGGAGGCUUUGAAGUGUGGACGCCAGUCUGCAUGGAGCCGACCUUGAAAUACCACCCUUUAAUGUUUGAUGUUCUAACGUUGACCCGUAAUCCGGGUUGCGGACAGUGUCUGGUGGGUAGUUUGACUGGGGCGGUCUCCUCCUAAAGAGUAACGGAGGAGCACGAAGGUUGGCUAAUCCUGGUCGGACAUCAGGAGGUUAGUGCAAUGGCAUAAGCCAGCUUGACUGCGAGCGUGACGGCGCGAGCAGGUGCGAAAGCAGGUCAUAGUGAUCCGGUGGUUCUGAAUGGAAGGGCCAUCGCUCAACGGAUAAAAGGUACUCCGGGGAUAACAGGCUGAUACCGCCCAAGAGUUCAUAUCGACGGCGGUGUUUGGCACCUCGAUGUCGGCUCAUCACAUCCUGGGGCUGAAGUAGGUCCCAAGGGUAUGGCUGUUCGCCAUUUAAAGUGGUACGCGAGCUGGGUUUAGAACGUCGUGAGACAGUUCGGUCCCUAUCUGCCGUGGGCGCUGGAGAACUGAGGGGGGCUGCUCCUAGUACGAGAGGACCGGAGUGGACGCAUCACUGGUGUUCGGGUUGUCAUGCCAAUGGCACUGCCCGGUAGCUAAAUGCGGAAGAGAUAAGUGCUGAAAGCAUCUAAGCACGAAACUUGCCCCGAGAUGAGUUCUCCCUGACUCCUUGAGAGUCCUGAAGGAACGUUGAAGACGACGACGUUGAUAGGCCGGGUGUGUAAGCGCAGCGAUGCGUUGAGCUAACCGGUACUAAUGAACCGUGAGGCUUAACCUU
rnacentral:rRNA from 1 species